GAUGAAGAACGUAGCGAAAUGCGAUACGUAAUGUGAAUUGCAUAAUUCAGUGAAUCAUCGAAUCUUUGAACGCACAUUGCGCCCCUUGGUAUCCCGAGGGGCAUGCCUGUUCGAGCGUCAUUUCACCACUCAAGCCUGGCUUGGUGUUGGGCGACGUCCCCUUUGGGGACGCGCCUCGAAACGCUCGGCGGCGUGGCACCGGCUUUAAGCGUAGCAGAAUCUUUCGCUUUGGAAGUCGGGGCCCCGUCUGCCGGAAGACCUACUCGCAAGGUUGACCUCGGAUCAGGCAGGGAUACCCGCUGAACUUAAGCAUAUCAAUAAGCGGAGGA
rnacentral:misc_RNA from 1 species